rnacentral:lncRNA from 1 species
CAAGCUUCGGGAUGUCUGGCAUCCUAUAGAUCGAAGGGAAGCACAUGGAGGGCAUCACAAGACGCACUUCAUAUGGAGUAGCCCCCAAGCAUUGAAGCGAUUAAUGUAAUCGGUCCAAUGGUUAAGAAUCUGAUGUAUUAUUUCCGUUGUAAAAGGGAUCCAAAUAUAGCACCCAGCCCCCGAGCGCAAGGAUUGGCAGAGCCACAGAGGCACGCCGACCUGAAAUAGGCACCCUACCCGCAAGGACUAGCGGAGCCACGGAGGCACACCGACCUGAAGUACGCACCCAGCCCCCAAGCGCGAGGACUGGCGGAGCCACGGAGGCACGCUGACCUGAAGUAGGUGACUAGCCCCCGAGCGCGAGGACUGGCAGAG